AUGGCAAUAGUUCAAUACACAUUUGACAAGAUGAAUGCGUACUUUAAGUACUCGAUGGAAACCGAUGCACAGAUAGCGGGUGAGAACCCACGGAAGUACAAGUACAAUUUCCCACCCAAAGUUGAUGAAUGGUUGGUAUUUCAAUCACGGAAGGCGAACUCAGAAGAAGCUAUAUUAUAUGACAACGAAGAGUGGAAGUACGAAGUGAAAGAGCCAGGAGGAACCACAAACGAUGGCCGGCAACAUGGAGGUCGGGCUUUCAAGGUGUCGUUAACACAAUGUGAUUGCACUUGCGGGAGGCCAUUGUUGCUUCAUCUCCCAUGCUCACACUUGUAUACCGCCGGUCGCGUUAGGAAUGUGGACAUCAAUCACCCACGCACCGUGAGGGAGUCGGAGUUCUCAAUCAUGACUGUCAAGAAAACAUGGGCUCGCCGCUUUCACCUGUACUUUGACCAAUCACAAUGGCCGGAGUAUCAUGGAGUUCAACUAUGGCCGGAUCCG
rnacentral:rRNA from 1 species